rnacentral:rRNA from 1 species
CAACCGAGAUUCCCCCAGUAGCGGCGAGCGAACGGGGAGCAGCCCAGAGUCUGAAUCAGCUUGUGUGUUAGUGGAACGGUCUGGAAAGUCCGACGGUACAGGGGGAUAGUCCCGUACACCAAAAUGCACAGGUUGUGAACUCGAAGAGUAGGGCGGGACACGUGGUAUCCUGUCUGAAUAUGGGGGGACCAUCCUCCAAGGCUAAAUACUCCUGACUGACCGAUAGUGAACCAGUACCGUGAGGGAAAGGCGAAAAGAACCCCGGCGAGGGGAGUGAAAAAGAACCUGAAACCGUGUACGUACAAGCAGUGGGAGCACCUUCGGGUGUGACUGCGUACCUUUUGUAUAAUGGGUCAGCGACUUAUAUUCUGUAGCAAGGUUAACCGUAUAGGGGAGCCGCAGGGAAACCGAGUCUUAACUGGGCGUUAAGUUGCAGGGUAUAGACCCGAAACCCGGUGA